rnacentral:lncRNA from 1 species
CACUGAGCAAGGAGUUAGCAAAGAAAUGACACAGAAAUCAUGCAGAAAAUAUAUUUAAUACUUGCAUAUUUUGUUUGUCGUGAACGCUAUCAAGUUACACAAUAAGGAAUAUCAAAGGUUAUUGUGUACAGAAUGAACAUAAAUCAGAUUUCAAUAUUUAGACAAAUUAUUCAGAUGCACCUCUCAAAUAUCAAAAUAGUGCGAGGGCCGUAUGUUCAAUAACUUUUAUGGUUAAUACGUUUUUCCUCGUGAAAUAAAGUUUCUAUUCUAUUAUUAAAGAAAGCAAUCUCGUCACAAACGUGUUACAAGAAAAUAUAUUUAAUAUUAAUAGUACACAAAGAAUUUUCACUUUGUGAAAUAUUAUAUUUUCCUGAUCAACGACUUAUAAUGCAUACUGUUGUGGGACACUGUUAGUCCAUGUGUCAAUUAUAAAUUUUACAA